rnacentral:rRNA from 2 species
AGCGGUAGAGAGGUGCUUGCACCUCUUGAGAGCGGCGGACGGGUGAGUAAAGCCUAGGAAUCUGCCUGGUAGUGGGGGAUAACGCUCGGAAACGGACGCUAAUACCGCAUACGUCCUACGGGAGAAAGCAGGGGACCUUCGGGCCUUGCGCUAUCAGAUGAGCCUAGGUCGGAUUAGCUAGUUGGUGAGGUAAUGGCUCACCAAGGCGACGAUCCGUAACUGGUCUGAGAGGAUGAUCAGUCACACUGGAACUGAGACACGGUCCAGACUCCUACGGGAGGCAGCAGUGGGGAAUAUUGGACAAUGGGCGAAAGCCUGAUCCAGCCAUGCCGCGUGUGUGAAGAAGGUCUUCGGAUUGUAAAGCACUUUAAGUUGGGAGGAAGGGCAUUAACCUAAUACGUUAGUGUUUUGACGUUACCGACAGAAUAAGCACCGGCUAACUCUGUGCCAGCAGCCGCGGUAAUACAGAGGGUGCAAGCGUUAAUCGGAAUUACUGGGCGUAAAGCGCGCGUAGGUGGUUCGUUAAGUUGGAUGUGAAAUCCCCGGGCUCAACCUGGGAACUGCAUUCAAAACUGUCGAGCUAGAGUAUGGUAGAGGGUGGUGGAAUUUC